rnacentral:rRNA from 1 species
AUUGAACGCUGGCGGCAUGCCUUACACAUGCAAGUCGAACGGCAGCGGACCUUCGGGUGCCGGCGAGUGGCGAACGGGUGAGUAAUAUAUCGGAACGUACCUUUCAGUGGGGGAUAACGUAGCGAAAGUUACGCUAAUACCGCAUAUUCUGUGAGCAGGAAAGCAGGGGAUCGCAAGACCUUGCGCUGAUUGAGCGGCCGAUAUCAGAUUAGCUAGUUGGUGAGGUAAAGGCUCACCAAGGCGACGAUCUGUAGCGGGUCUGAGAGGAUGAUCCGCCACACUGGAACUGAGACACGGUCCAGACUCCUACGGGAGGCAGCAGUGGGGAAUCUUAGACAAUGGGCGCAAGCCUGAUCUAGCCAUGCCGCGUGAGUGAUGAAGGCCUUAGGGUUGUUAAAGACUCUUUCUAGAUGGGAAGGAU